rnacentral:tRNA from 1 species
GCCCUUUUAGCUCAGUGGCCGAGCGCUGGCUUUGAAAGCCACAGGUCGGUGGCUCAAAUCCACCCGGGCGCA